rnacentral:lncRNA from 1 species
UUCGGGUUGUGCCAAAUAAUGCGUAGAUAAUUAUGGUGGAGAACCACACUUUUAUAAAAUGUUCAAAUAUUCAAAUGGUAAUAAAACAGUAGCAAAACUAUUAUUUAAAUACUUUAAAUACUCAACAAUUACCAAAUAUUUUAUUUUAGGUGCCAAGUUAAUUGUGGCAGUGGACUAAUUAGUAAUACUAAUUUAGGUGCUCAUUUGGCAUUUUACAAAACUAAAAUAAAAUGUAACUAAAAGAAAACAGUAAAGAAAUAAAAGAAAAAUAGAAAAGGAAAAGCAAAUCAAGAGAAAACAAAAAAAGGGAAUAGGCCUCGGCCCACCCGACCAGGCCCAGCCCAUCUUCCUCCCCGGUCGUCUUCUCUGUUCACCCGACCCCGUGCGCGCCCAAGUCGCGUCCCCGCCGAACCCACCUCGCCGUCGGCGCCUCGGUGGAUAAGGACUCCACCUCCCUGGUGCCUCGGGCUCUCUCCCCGCUCGCCCACUUGCCCCCUCUCGCUCGCCUCUGCGCCUCCCCUCAUCCGAGAUCCACCUCUCCCCUCUCCUCUCGCUCGAUCCCGAGCGCGCCCGUCGCCAUGGCCCCGUCCUAGCCGCAGCCACCGUCGCCACCUCGCCUCGUCCCCAUGACAAAUCGGUUCUCCGGCCCUCGCUACUUCCUCCCCGACCACCUGCUCGAGCCGGGACCCCCUACAUCACCCCCAACGCCGUCGCCUUCUUCCUCGGGUCGCCGCCGUCUUCUUCGACUCCGGCGACUGCUGCUGCUACUAAGCCUCUCACCGGCCUCCGUGUGCCGCGCGGUGAGCUCCUCUACCUCCUACCCUUCUCCGUUUGCUCUCGCGCGAACCCUAGCUAGCUCUCACAACGAGGCCGAAUGCAUCGCCGUGGAGCUCGUCGCCGACGCGUCUCCGGUGAUGGUUUGGUCACGGGCUCGUACCCAUUGGACUCGCCGCACCACGUAGAUCCUCCCCGGCCUCCUCUUUUGCUCAAUAGCGUGCUGCCUCGCCGUUUCCGUCUUCGGCCGAAGCCGCUCCGCCGCUGGCCUCGACGCCGGUGCCGAUUCCAGCAGACUCCGGCGACGCCACCACCGCUGUUCGACGCGCGUUGGUCCGCUCGUUCGAACGCGCCCUCGCGCGCGCGAAACGGUUGCUCGUAGGCGAAAUCCGACGAGGUCCGAAGCCCUCCGCCGUGUUUGGCGUCACCGGCGACGUGCCGCCGGCCGCCGCUGACAUGGCACACCUGGGGCCACCCCGGGGUCACUGCCAGCGGGCCCCGCGGGCCCCGUUGACUGGGUUGACCCAGUCAACGUGCUGACUGGGCGUCUCUGUGACGCUGACAUGUGGGCCCCGCCGCUUAAUCUUCUAAUUAAACGUUUUAUUAAUUAAAACUAAUUAGUUUAGUUAAUUAGUCCAUGACAAGCGUGACCUACCUGCUAAAUAACUCUGUUUAGUUAGUUUUAAAACUCUGUUAACUCUCUGUCUAUGACAUGUGGGCCCCGCUGGACCCACAUGUCAGUUUUGACCCUGGUCAGCGAGUCUGUUGACUGCUGACGUCAUCCCCACGCAAUGCCGACGUCAUAUUCCUUUUCUGUUAAUAUUAAUAAUUCCAGAAAAUACUUCAAUCUUUAAAAAUUCAUAGAAAAUAAACCGUAACUCGGAUGGAAAUGUUUUCUACAUGAAAGUUGCUCAGAAAAAUCCAACGAAUCCGAAUACGGGGUCCGUUCAUUUGCCACAUGCCUCUAGCAUGCUGAACAUGGAACUUUCCCCCUCCGGUCAUCUGUCUGGCACAGGUCCGGAACCGGCAACCCCUUCCCGGUUGAAUUCCCCCUUCACCUAUAUCGUGUAGCCAUACGUUAGGUCACACCUGGCAUAUCAUAUUGCCACGUUAUGCUUUGUGAAGCUAUGUUUGCUUUAUAUUUACUGUUUCUUCCCCCUCUUCUCUCCGAUAGACCCCGAGACCGAUGUUGCCCCUAUGAUCGACUACGUCGACGACGACCCCCUCCUUGCCAGAGCAACCAGGCAAUCCCCCUCUUGAUCACCAGAUAUCGCCUAUUCUUCUCUACACUGCUUGCAUUAGAGUAGUGUAGCAUGUUACUGCUUUCGGUUAAUCCUAUUCUGCUGCAUAGCCUGUCAGUGUUGCUACAGUUGUUACCCUUACCUGUUAUCCUACUGCUUAGUAUAGGAUUCUAGUGUUCCAUCAGUGGCCCUACACUCUUGUCCGUUUGCCUUGCUAUACUACUGGGCCGUGAUCACUUCGGGAGGUGAUCACGGGUAUAUACUAUACACAUUAUAUACAUGACACAUGUGGUGACUAAAGUCGGGUCGGCUCGAGGGGUACCCGCAAGUGAUUCUGAUGAGGGGGCUGAAAGGACAGGUGGCUCCACCCCGGUAGAGGUGGGCCUGGGUUCUUGAUGGCCCCCGACUGUUACAUUAUGGUGGAGCGACAGGGCAGGUUGAGACCACCUAGGAGAGAGGUGGGCCUGGCCCUGGUCGGCGUUCGCGGAUAAAUAACACGCUUAACGAGUUCUGGGUAUUUGAUCUGAGUCUGGCCAUUUGGUCUAUACGCACUAACCAUCUACGCGGGAGUAGUUAUGGGUAUCCCGACGUCGUGGUAUCAGCCGAAGCACUUCUUGACGUCAGCAACUGAGUGGCGCGCGCCGCAUUGGACCGUAAGCUCGCGCUUGUAUUAAGGGGGCUAGGUCUGCUUCCGGCCGCGUACGCAACGUGCAGGUGUGCAUAGGGCGAUGGGCCCAGAACCGUACGCGCAUAGGGUUAGACCGGUGUGCUGACCUCUCUGUUGUGCUUAGGUGGGGCUGCGACGUGUUGAUCUUCCGCGGCCGGGCAUGACCCAGAAAAGUGUGUCCGGCCAAAUGGGAUCGAGCGUGUUGGGUUAUGUGGUGCACCCCUGCAGGGAAGUUUAUCUAUUCGAAUAGCCAUGUCCCUCGAUAAAAGGACGACCCGGAGUUGUACCUUGACCUUAUGACAACUAGAACCGGAUACUGAAUAAAAUACACCCUUCCAAGUGCCAGAUACAACCCGGUGAUCGCUCUCUAAUAGCGUGACGAGGAGGGGAUCGCCGGGUAGGAUUAUGCUAUACGAUGCUACUUGGAGGACUUCAAUCUACUCUCUUCUACAUGCUGCAAGAUGGAGGCUGCCAGAAGCGUAGUCUUCGACAGGACUAGCUAUCCCCCUCUUAUUCUGGCAUUCUGCAGUUCAGGCCACUGAUAUGCCCCUUUACACAUAUACCCAUGCAUAUUUAGUGUAGCUCCUUGCUUGCGAGUACUUUGGAUGAGUACUCACGGUUGCUUCUCUCCCUCUUUUCCCCCUUUCCUUCUACCUGGUUGUCGCUACCAGAUGCUGGAGUCCAGGAGCUAGAGAUCUCGAGGAUGAUUCUACAUGGCGUUCGGCUUCUAGGAGUAGUUAGGAGGUCCCAGGCAGGAGGCCUUGCCUUUUCGAUCGUUGCUACUUUUGUGCUAGCCUUCUUAAGGCAAACUUGUUUAACUUAUGUCUGUACUCAAAUAUUGUUUCUUCCGCUGACUCGUCUAUGAUCGAGCACUUGUAUUCGAGCCCUCGUGGCCCCUGGCUUGUAUUAUGAUGCUUGUAUGACUUAUUUAUGUUUUAGAGUUGUGUUGUGAUAUCUUCCCGUGAGUCCCUGAUCUUGAUCGUACACAUUUGGGUGCAUGAUUAGUGUACGGUCAAAUCGGGGGCGUCACAAGUUGGUAUCAGAGCCGACUGCCUGUAGGAAUCCCCCUUCCACACUCCUUGGCCGAAGUGGAGUCUAGUCAGUGAAAACUGUUUUACUAACAUGGCUGUGUGGCUUACGGGCCCACGUCGCCAUUGGGUGGUCUUAGGAUCUUUUACUCCUUGCCUAUACUCUGGGACUCUGAUCUCUCUUCUAUUCGGGUUAAGUGAAUUUUACUAAAUCUAACAUUAGGAUCUCGUUAUCACUUUCACCCGGAGAGCCCCUUAUUACUGAUGAUCGUCUGCUGCACGUGAAGACCCUGAAGAUACUCUCUGCUGAUAACCCGAGGACUUGUGUUCAUCGCUUUUGCAAUUCCCUUUCAUCGAUAAACUCCUAUGGAUAACCACGUAUACUCGCCAUUCAUACAAUGUUUCCCAGUUGAUCUUGUUAUUACAAGAUACCCCGAAAUUCUCUCUGUUGUUCCGAGAAUCCUUUGAGCUUACUGCCUUGCUGUUCUUUGUCACCUGAAUACCCCUACGGAUAAUUCUCGCACUUACCGAGUAUCCGGUCAUCCCCAGUUGAUUCAAGUAUUCCACAAUAGUCUUCAAAAUACUAUUCGAUCUUUCGAAAAUCCUCAGGAGCCUAUUACUCUUGAAAUUCUUGUUUGCUUGCAUUAUGAUUAAUCCCAUAAGUCUCAUAAUCUUAUUGGCAUCUCUUGUCAUUAUCAUUUUGAGUCCGUUGAUUCAAUUUGUUGCGAAUGCUCGCAAUCCUCAAUCAUAUCCUAGAAUUCAUUCUUCCGGCUCAGACGUCAUUUUAAACGUGAGCUGGAUCUCGACCUAUCAAAUUGCCAUCGAUUGUACCCCUAAGCCUACUCAACUUAUCCAUCCUUGAUCAGAGCGUUGCUUCUGACCCCAUGAUUUGGAAAUCAUAAUUCUUUUGCAUUUCUACUUUGAGUUAGUCAGUUGUUUCUAUAAUCAUAUCUCCUUGCAUUCUUCUUCCUCUGGUUGAGUACCGAUGCUCACAUCAGAUCCCUAGUGGACCAUCGGUUCCUUUGUUGGAUUUUAUCCGACAGUGUCCUUCAUAUUGAAUAACCUUGUGAGCCUUUCCAUGGGUAUAUAAUGCCUUUAGUAAAUUGUAUCCUCUCGUUUUGACACCCAUGCUCUACUAUCGAGCUUGAGGUAUUUACUAUUGAAGCUUGUGGUAUAUGUUUCCACGAUACCCUGACAGGUUGAACCUAUGCCUUCCUUAAUAUGUGUGAACUCAAAGGUUUUUGAUGAGUCAUACUCUUCUGGUAUUUUGCUAGGUAAAAUUUCAACACUACAACUUCUUUGAAAGUGAGAGGUGAAUGGAAGGUUAUACAUUGAAGAAGUGGGAUUCGACCUUGAACUUUGUGUUCAUGCCCAUGGACACGAUGUAGAUCUUAUCAUUAAAAGCUUCUCUUAAAAUAAUUAUUCCCUUGGUAUAAGUUUAUCUUAUAUCUGGGAUCUGGCCUUUUGCAAUCGUGGUUCCGACCAUGUUGUCCUUUAAACACCAUUUCUCGUACAAGUUAGGCACUUGUCUUGUAGAGCAAUACCCCAGUCCAACCUCUACUUUGGUUUGUCGUCGAGUAUUACCCCCCUGGUAUCUCGAGAUUAUCACGGAACUGCAUAACUUCUUAUGAGUUCUCCAUCAAGUAGUACAUUCUCAUUGAUUCCAAUUUUUCACGGGCUCCGAGUUAUUAAACACUCAAGGACAUCGAUAACUGAAUCGAGUCCGCAUCACGAUUAAACAACUCUUAGUAAUCUCCUUUGUUUACGAGUUCGUACUCGAUCACGUCAUCCCUAGCCUGCUCGGCUAUGUCAUUAUCGUGCCGAUUUUAACUGUGCUACCUGGUCUUUAUUCCCGGAGCACCACUUUUGACGCUGAGCUAAGCUUACGUCGAUUUUCCUCGUCAUAUCAUUUCGCCUUGAACAGCAAGCUUGAUUUAGAGUUUGUGUCGUACCCCUGGUUCCAAUAAAUUUUCGCUUCAUCAUUCCUUGGACUUGAUGUCAUCGCCGAUCGAUUACCUCUUCAUAAAUUCUUGCUACAAAUGUGUCGUGAACAUCAUCAACAUUCUGAGCUCUUCCAAGAUAUCUAUCGAAUUCUGGAUGAGAAAUAUCAUCCUUGCCCUCAAUGAUUUGUUUUAUCAUCGACCAUUUUAUUGCCUUCCAUUCAACACAAACUUGUUCGUGUUUUGUGUUGUACCUUGAUUUCCUUGCUAUCUAGCUUAUGAUAUGUUCUACCUUGGAGUAUUACCAUCUUUUAUGUCAAGUAUGUCGUAAGAAUUUCACCACCUCGUAUGACAUCUUGGUACAGUGAUACUUCUCCCCAUCACCAUUCUUUCUUGGUCCCGUGUUGUUUCUAAAAGGAAUACCGACCAAUGGUCUGUGAUGUGUAAAUUCUAAACUUCUAGCAACCCUAUUGCUUUGAAGUUAUUGGUCUAUAGUUUCAUUCUACGUCUAUGGCUUAAUGAAUCAUCAUUCGAACAUUGAUUGUGCUACCUAGCCCAUAUUUCGGGUGCACAUUUCAACCAAUGUUUAACUGUGUAUGUUUUCCUCGAGCAUACAUCAUUAAGUCAAUCGAUCUAGCUAAUGUUAUCUCCUUGUUCACAUAGUGGUGGAAAUCCAUCUUUUGGAAAUCUCAAUGGAUUGUCACUGAGUCAAUCAGUCACCUCCUCACCUCUCCUUGAUGUAAUGGUGAACCCAUGUCCGGAACUCGCUUCCAUAGUUCAUCUCCCGAGAAUCUUCGAUGUCGUUUCAACAAUUUGUGUUGCACCUUUCUUCUCAGGCAUCCUGAGUCUGAGUUAUCCUGACACCAAUCAGAUCUGAAUCUCGGUCAGAUAUGAUGGUUGGAACAUAUUUCCAAGAGUUAUAACAUUGGCCUAUUUAUGACCCGGUAAGGUGAUGAUACCCAGCACACCUGGCGGGAGGACCUAUUGUUAUAAGUUUCCCCUUUUAGCAAGGUUAGCUGUUCUUCCAUGAGGAAAUUGUAAGACUUAUUCUAUAAGUUGUUCCUGAUGGAUCCUUUUUGUUUCCAAAUUCUGAUCUUCACCUGUUGACCAUGUCAAUGCUAUCUCGAAGCAUGUCUAUGGUACUCCGAUUUUCAACAGGAACAUUUGAAGCCCAAUGCUGAAUGUUUCCUGCUCAAUUAUCCAAACAACGUUGUAUGGGUAAUGUCAUGAAAUUUCUCUCCCGUACCUAAGGAGUUUUCUACAUUAUAUCAUGUCAUGGAUAUCAUGCUCUGCUUGUCCUUGGGAAGGAUAUACCCUUGAAAUAUGUGUUUAAACACAUUUUCCUUUCCAUUCUUCUGUUUAAUCUGAUAAUCAUAUUUUCCUUUCCAUUGUUUGGUUUAACCUUUCUGGUGAUCUAUAUGAUCUAAGCAGUAAUAUUCUCCUGCUUAUGUAAACACCUCGGUGUACAACUCUGUCAGUAAGACCCUGUUACUAUUGUUGGUGACAUUCCGGUAACCAUCGAUGGACGAGAACUUUGCCUAUUGGUCUGCCUCGUUUCAACGAGCAGGAAAAUGGUUCUCUUCGUCCCUCGCCCUUGGUACCGACGAUGUUGCUGACAUAUAACUGACAGGCUAGCCUCUGACAUUCCUUGCUAUCAUGAUCGUGCAAGAUGUCACCGUCCUUCCUACUUUAACCACAUGGUGGGCCCAUAACCCACAGUUCCACAGGAUCAAAACCUGACUCUCCUAUGCACCCCCUAUUCCCAAAUUAAUUCAUCGCGCGUGGCCUCGUAUGUAAUUCACGAGCCACCUUCAAGUCUGAUAUCAGACGCAAUACUUAUUCCCGUUGCUUUGAACCCCUUUCACGCCCUGUUACAGGCAUCGAACGAUUGCCUACCCGCUCGAAACUUCCCAGGAUACUUCCUUACUUUGCUCUCGAUAUUUCCGUAAGUUUCAAUUCGAGAAUUACUUUCUGCCACCUUCCCCGAUGUUAGCUACCAGAUAGUCAACCUUGCAGAGGUCCAUUCUCCUAGAAUAUACCCACCCUUUAUUCUUUCGUAAGUACGAUGGAGUUCCCGAAGAAAGGACGACAACUUCAUCAUGGUGACCUGAAACAGCAGAAUGAAGACAUCAAUGUAAUGGAUCAACCUCUUCGAGAAGAACAACCAAGACCAAGAACACUCCCUAGAAUUUCGUAACCCGAACCUUCCCCCUUUACUUCCCUCUUAAAUCUCGGGACGAGAUUUCUUGUAGUGGAGGAGAAUUGUGACGCCCGGAUAAUUAGACUACAGUAAUUCCCUGCUAUUGAUGCCACGUCACCUCUGACACUGUAGUUAAUCCCUUUCGUUAGUUCAAAAACCAAUUCAAAUUCAAAAUUGAAUAAAAGGCAAACAACAAAAGUUUUCAAACUUUAAAACUAAAAUGUUCGGGUUGUGCCAAAUAAUGCGUAGAUAAUUAUGGUGGAGAACCACACUUUUAUAAAAUGUUCAAAUAUUCAAAUGGUAAUAAAACAGUAGCAAAACUAUUAUUUAAAUACUUUAAAUACUCAACAAUUACCAAAUAUUUUAUUUUAGGUGCCAAGUUAAUUGUGGCAGUGGACUAAUUAGUAAUACUAAUUUAGGUGCUCAUUUGGCAUUUUACAAAACUAAAAUAAAAUGUAACUAAAAGAAAACAGUAAAGAAAUAAAAGAAAAAUAGAAAAGGAAAAGCAAAUCAAGAGAAAACAAAAAAAAGGGAAUAGGCCUCGGCCCACCCGACCAGGCCCAGCCCAUCUUCCUCCCCGGUCGUCUUCUCUGUUCACCCGACCCCGUGCGCGCCCAAGUCGCGUCCCC